CCGGAGCAGAUCGCGCUCACCAGGCAGAAGCACACACCGCGCUUCCCGGCGCUAACACAGGGACAGGCGCUCCCUCUCUGCCCUCCGAGAAUUCCUGAUGUGCUGCCAUUUCUGCUUUGUUGGCCAGAACCUUUAUGAUGCCCCCAAGGAUGAUUCAUAGCCUGGUCUCUGACGCAUGAAAGUUGAAGCCUCAAAGUCCUACUGAAGUCAAUGAGACUCAGCUCGGUGCUAAUAAAGAACUUGUCCUCAUCUGAGAUGUGCACAUACUUCCAGCUAAAAGUUUCCUGAAGAAAUGGAGCCAUAGGUGGGCCAGUUAAUCCAGGGAAAACCCACACCCAGGUACAUUUGCUGUCACUUGCUUUACAGAUAUUCAGCAGAAAUGGCAGCCCUUCACAUCCCUCUUCACUCUGACAGAGUUCUGAAUUUCUAUCUCCAGCUACACAGCUGGUGAAGACUGACAGGAGAUAUUUCUCUUCCACACAACUGAAGAAUAUCUCCCGUAAUGGUUGCUUAGGUUGGUAAAAAGUAUUCUUUAGCAGUUGAUCAAUUAUGAAUAAAUACUCCAGCAUUUUCAAGUAACUGAUUUUGCUUUUACCUAUGCUGCACAAUGAAGGUUUAUCAAUGCAUGUCUAAGAUACAAACUAAAACUAUGUAGUGAACACAUGAGCAAGCUGUCCCUAAAUGACCUUGAUUUUCAGCC
ensembl:lncRNA